rnacentral:rRNA from 1 species
AACGAACGCUGGCGGCAGGCUUAACACAUGCAAGUCGAACGCACCGUUCGGGGUGAGUGGCGGACGGGUGAGUAACGCGUGGGAAUCUACCCUUCUCUACGGGAUAGCUCCGGGAAACUGGAAUUAAUACCGUAUACGCCCUGAGGGAGUAAGAUCUGGCGGGGCAGGAUGAGCGCGCGGUUGAUUAGCUUGUUGGUGGGGUAAGGGCGUACCAAGGCAUCGAUCGGUAGGUGGUCUGAGAGGAUGACCGGCCACAUUGGGACUGAGAUACGGCCAAGACUCCUACGGGAGGCAGCAGUGGGGGAUAUUGCACAAUGGGCGGAAGCCUGAUGCAGCAACGCCGCGUGCGGGAUGACGGCCUUCGGGUUGUAAACCGCUUUCGCCUGUGACGAAGCGUGAGUGACGGUAAUGGGUAAAGAAGCACCGGCUAACUACGUG